rnacentral:tRNA from 1 species
CAGGGUGUAGCUCAGGUUGGUAGAGCGCUAGCUUGGGGUGCUAGAGGUCGCGGGUUCAAGUCCCGCCACUCUGACCA